UUAACGACUCUCGGCAACGGAUAUCUCGGCUCUCGCAUCGAUGAAGAACGUAGCGAAAUGCGAUACUUGGUGUGAAUUGCAGAAUCCCGUGAACCAUCGAGUCUUUGAACGCAAGUUGCGCCCGAAGCCUUCUGGCCGAGGGCACGCCUGCCUGGGCGUCACGCA
rnacentral:rRNA from 1 species